UCCCUGGUGGUCCAGUGUCUAAGACUCUGCACUCCCAAAGCUGGAGGCCCAGGUUCGAUCCUGGUCAGGGAA
rnacentral:tRNA from 1 species